rnacentral:rRNA from 1 species
ACGAACGCUGGCGGCAUGCCUAACCCAUGCCAGUCGAACGAGACCUUCGGGUCUAGUGGCGCACGGGUGCGUCACGCGUAGGAACCUGCCCUUAGGUUCGGAAUAACUCCCCGAAAGGGGUGCUAAUACCGGAUAAUGUCUUCGGACCAAAGAUUUAUCGCCUUUGGAUGGGCCCGCGUUGGAUUAGCUAGUUGGUAGGGUAAAAGCCUACCAAGGCGACGAUCCAUAGCUGGUCUGAGAGGAUGAUCAGCCACACUGGGACUGAGACACGGCCCAGACUCCUACGGGAAGCAGCAGUGGGGAAUAUUGGACAAUGGGCGAAAGCCUGAUCCAGCAAUGCCGCGUGAGUGAUGAAGGCCUUAGGGUUGUAAAGCUCUUUUACCCGGGAUGAUAAUGACAGUACCGGGAGAAUAAGCUCCGGCUAACUCCGUG